CGCACAUUGCGCCCUGUGGUAUUCCGCGGGGCAUGCCUGUUCGAGCGUCAUAAUGACCAAAUCACGCCGCGGGCGUGGCUUUGGGGCUGGCAGCUCCGCCGCCCUCAAACCUAGUGGCAGUGCCGGCCGGCUCUUUGCGUAGUAACUAUACUCCUCGCUUUAGACCCCCCCGGACGCCCGCCAGCAACCCCCAACCUCUUAGGGUUGACCUCGGAUCAGGUAGGGAUACCCGCUGAACUUAA
rnacentral:misc_RNA from 1 species